UACGAAGGGUGCAAGCGUUGUUCGAAAUUAUUGGGCGUAAAGCGCACGUAGGCGGCCUUGUAAGUCUCACUGUGAAAGUCCGGGGCUCAACCCCGGGAUGCCAGGGGAUACUGCGAGGCUGGAGACAAGCAGAGGUUGGUAGAAUUCCGGGUGUAGCGGUGGAAUGCGUAGAGAUCCGGAGGAAUACCAGAGGCGAAGGCGGCCAACUGGGCUUGUUCUGACGCUGAGGUGCGAAAGCGUGGGGAGCGAACAGG
rnacentral:rRNA from 1 species